rnacentral:misc_RNA from 1 species
UUGGCUGGAAAUCAGUCGAAGUAGGCUCAGUCCACCAGUUCCAGGGCAAAGAGAAAUUGGUUGUGAUAAUCUCUACAGUGAGAUCAUCCAGUAAAAGUAAUCCUUCAAUGAAGAACUCGCUGGGAUUCCUUACAAAUCCUAAGCAAUUUAAUGUGGCAGUAACACGUGCUAGAGCCCUGCUAAUCGUAGUGGGGAACCCCUGCACACUGAGUAGAGACCGAUGCUGGAAUCAGCUGUUGACUUAUUGUCAACAGAACAGUUCAACUAUCGGUGUCCAAAACUUAUCUUAGGAUGCGGUUUGAGCAAUUUAAUGUGGCAGUAACACGUGCUAGAGCCCUGCUAAUCGUAGUGGGGAACCCCUGCACACUGAGUAGAGACCGAUGCUGGAAUCAGCUGUUGACUUAUUGUCAACAGAACAGUUCAACUAUCGGUGUCCAAAACUUAUCUUAGGAUGCGGUUUGAGGUGAAUACAUUCCGUGAGAAAUUCUCUUCUCUUGGCUGGAAAUCAGUCGAAGUAGGCUCAGUCCACCAGUUCCAGGGCAAAGAGAAAUUGGUUGUGAUAAUCUCUACAGUGAGAUCAUCCAGUAAAAGUAAUCCUUCAAUGAAGAACUCGCUGGGAUUCCUUACAAAUCCUAAGCAAUUUAAUGUGGCAGUAACACGUGCUAGAGCCCUGCUAAUCGUAGUGGGGAACCCCUGCACACUGAGUAGAGACCGAUGCUGGAAUCAGCUGUUGACUUAUUGUCAACAGAACAGUUCAACUAUCGGUGUCCAAAACUUAUCUUAGGAUGCGGUUUGAGGUGAAUACAUUCCGUGAGAAAUUCUCUUCUCUUGGCUGGAAAUCAGUCGAAGUAGGCUCAGUCCACCAGUUCCAGGGCAAAGAGAAAUUGGUUGUGAUAAUCUCUACAGUGAGAUCAUCCAGUAAAAGUAAUCCUUCAAUGAAGAACUCGCUGGGAUUCCUUACAAAUCCUAAGCAAUUUAAUGUGGCAGUAACACGUGCUAGAGCCCUGCUAAUCGUAGUGGGGAACCCCUGCACACUGAGUAGAGACCGAUGCUGGAAUCAGCUGUUGACUUAUUGUCAACAGAACAGUUCAACUAUCGGUGUCCAAAACUUAUCUUAGGAUGCGGUUUGAGGUGAAUACAUUCCGUGAGAAAUUCUCUUCUCUUGGCUGGAAAUCAGUCGAAGUAGGCUCAGUCCACCAGUUCCAGGGCAAAGAGAAAUUGGUUGUGAUAAUCUCUACAGUGAGAUCAUCCAGUAAAAGUAAUCCUUCAAUGAAGAACUCGCUGGGAUUCCUUACAAAUCCUAAGCAAUUUAAUGUGGCAGUAACACGUGCUAGAGCCCUGCUAAUCGUAGUGGGGAACCCCUGCACACUGAGUAGAGACCGAUGCUGGAAUCAGCUGUUGACUUAUUGUCAACAGAACAGUUCAACUAUCGGUGUCCAAAACUUAUCUUAGGAUGCGGUUUGAGCAAUUUAAUGUGGCAGUAACACGUGCUAGAGCCCUGCUAAUCGUAGUGGGGAACCCCUGCACACUGAGUAGAGACCGAUGCUGGAAUCAGCUGUUGACUUAUUGUCAACAGAACAGUUCAACUAUCGGUGUCCAAAACUUAUCUUAGGAUGCGGUUUGAGGUGAAUACAUUCCGUGAGAAAUUCUCUUCUCUUGGCUGGAAAUCAGUCGAAGUAGGCUCAGUCCACCAGUUCCAGGGCAAAGAGAAAUUGGUUGUGAUAAUCUCUACAGUGAGAUCAUCCAGUAAAAGUAAUCCUUCAAUGAAGAACUCGCUGGGAUUCCUUACAAAUCCUAAGCAAUUUAAUGUGGCAGUAACACGUGCUAGAGCCCUGCUAAUCGUAGUGGGGAACCCCUGCACACUGAGUAGAGACCGAUGCUGGAAUCAGCUGUUGACUUAUUGUCAACAGAACAGUUCAAAUAUCGGUGUCCAAA